rnacentral:rRNA from 1 species
UUGGCGGACGGGUGAGAAAUGCAUCGGAACGUACCCAGUCGUGGGGGAUAGCCCGGGGAAACCCGGAUUAAUACCGCAUACGCCCUGAGGGGGAAAGUGGGGGACCGCAAGGCCUCACGCGAUUGGAGCGGCUGAUGUCGGAUUAGCUAGUUGGUGGGGUAAAGGCCUACCAAGGCGACGAUCCGUAGCUGGUCUGAGAGGAUGAUCAGCCACACUGGGACUGAGACACGGCCCAGACUCCUACGGGAGGCAGCAGUGGGGAAUUUUGGACAAUGGGGGCAACCCUGAUCCAGCCAUGCCGCGUGAGUGAAGAAGGCCUUCGGGUUGUAAAGCUCUUUCAGUUGGGAAGAAACGGGGUUCUCUAAUACAGGGCUCUAAUGACGGUACCGACAGAAGAAGCACCGGCUAACUACGUGCCAGCAGCCGCGGUAAU